GGGCCCGCACAAGCGGUGGAGUAUGUGGUUUAAUUCGAUGCAACGCGAAGAACCUUACCAGGGUUUGACAUCCUGCGAAUCUCUUGGAAACAGGAGAGUGCCUUCGGGAACGCAGUGACAGGUGGUGCAUGGCUGUCGUCAGCUCGUGUCGUGAGAUGUUGGGUUAAGUCCCGCAACGAGCGCAACCCACGUCUUUAGUUGCCAGCAUUUAGUUGGGCACUCUAGAGAGACUGCCGGUGAUAAACCGGAGGAAGGUGUGGAUGACGUCAAGUCAUCAUGCCCCUUACGGGUUGGGCUACACACGUGCUACAAUGGCAUCUACAGUGGGUUAAUCCCCAAAAGAUGUCU
rnacentral:rRNA from 1 species